AUACGGAGGAUGCGAGCGUUCUCCGGAUUUAUUGGGUUUAAAGGGUGCGUAGGCGGACGAUUAAGUCAGCUGUGAAAUGCCCGCGCUUAACGCGGGAAGUGCAGUUGAUACUGGUUGUCUGGAGUGCCGUUGCCGUGGGGGGAAUGUGUAGUGUAGCGGUGAAAUGCAUAGAUAUUACACAGAACGCCGAUUGUGAAGACACCUCCAGAAGCGGUAACUGACGCUGGGCCCCGACAGCGGGGGGAUCGAACAGGAUUAGAUACGCUGUUAGACCAAGCGGGAAACGCUGAUGAUUAACCGUGGGCGAUAGCCCGCCGGUGGCCAAGCGAAAGCGAUAAGUCAUCCGCCUGGGGAGUACGAACGCAAGGUUGAAACUUAAAGGAAUUGACGGGG
rnacentral:rRNA from 1 species